rnacentral:rRNA from 1 species
ACUCAAUAGAUACCCCGGUAGUCCACGCCCUAAACGAUGUCUACUAGUUGUCGGGUCUUAAUUGACUUGGUAAACGCAGCUAAACGCGUGAAGUAGACCGCCUGGGGAGUACGGUCGCAAGAUUAAAACUCAAAGGAAUUGACGGGGACCCGCACAAGCGGUGGAUGAUGUGGAUUAAUUCGAUGCAACGCGAAAAACCUUACCUACCCUUGACAUGGAAGGAAUCCCUGAGAGAUCGGGGAGUGCUCGAAAGAGAACCUUUACACAGGUGCUGCAUGGCUGUCGUCAGCUCGUGUCGUGAGAUGUUGGGUUAAGUCCCGCAACGAGCGCAACCCUUGUCAUUAGUUGCUACGAAAGGGCACUCUAAUGAGACUGCCGGUGACAAACCGGAGGAAGGUGGGGAUGACGUCAAGUCCUCAUGGCCCUUAUGGGUAGGGCUUCACACGUCAUACAAUGGUACAUACAGAGGGCCGCAACCCGCGAGGGGGAGCUAAUCCCAGAAAGUGUAUCGUAGUCCGGAUUGUAGUCUGCAACUCG